AUUGAACGCUGGCGGCAUGCUUUACACAUGCAAGUCGAACGGCAGCGCGGGCUUCGGCCUGGCGGCGAGUGGCGAACGGGUGAGUAAUGCAUCGGAACGUGCCCAGUAGUGGGGGAUAGCCCGGCGAAAGCCGGAUUAAUACCGCAUACGACCUGAGGGUGAAAGCGGGGGACCGAAAGGCCUCGCGCUAUUGGAGCGGCCGAUGUCGGAUUAGCUAGUUGGUGGGGUAAAGGCUUACCAAGGCGACGAUCCGUAGCUGGUCUGAGAGGACGACCAGCCACACUGGAACUGAGACACGGCCCCGACUCCUACGGGAGGCCGCAGUGGGGAAUGUUGGACAAUGGGGGCAACCCUGAUCCAGCCAUGCCGCGUGCGGGAAGAAGGCCUUCGGGUUGUAAACCGCUUUUGUUCGGGAAGAAAUCCUCUGGGCUAAUACCCCGGGGGGAUGACGGUACCGGAAGAAUAAGCACCGGCUAACUACGUG
rnacentral:rRNA from 1 species